UUCCCUGGUAACAACACGAAAAUUCAAUUAUCAGAGUUCCUCAUCACUGACUUGAUGCUUCCACAUGUUAUUUCUGAUGCCAACUGCAGGCUAAAAAUGAUUACACGCAAACAUGUAGUGUGCUGAUGGAAGUCUGCGGUUUCCAAGCGCCACUUACUGCUGAGGCAGUGAAGAGACCAGUUGCUUUCAUAGCCUACAAAAAGGUAUGCAGAAGAGCAUCUCUGAAUGCACAGCACAUCAAAGCUUGAAGCAGAUGGGCUACAGCAGAAGAAGACCUGGGUGCCACUCCUUUCAGUUAAUUAGGGCCUCGAAGCAGAGGAAAUGGGAGCUGCCAUUUCUGCGAGGCACAGCAGCAUGCACGGGGGCACAUGUGUGGAUACCGACAGCCCUCAACACCCACAAAGAAAGGUGAGGAAAGCCAUUAUCAGCAUUCUCCUUCUCAUUUAGGCAUCACUUCGGCUAUUGCUACCCCCCGCUCCUUCAUCUGUAUCAGUUUUGCUGUGUAACAGUCUGCAAAUUUUAACUACUAAACAACUAGCAACUACUAAAGAGUUAAAAACUUUAUCUACAAAUAAGGUAAAAAUGAUAUCAUAAAGUAUUUCUGUGCCCUGUCUCAUAAAAAAACAAACAGCAAUUAAACAAUCUGUGCAAUACAUCACUACAACUGACCUUACAGGCCGAAAUUUCACACCACUUCAAACUAUGAUUAGAUCGGACAUGAUGACCGAUGUGUGCAGCUGCUAAUUAGUUGAAUGGCACGUCCGAGUUUUCAGGGGUCUCACAAAUCAAUGUCACCAGCUGCUUAAGAGUCCUCAAUAACAAAAUCUGCUCAGCAUUACAUAUAAAAUGUACACAAAUAUAACUGUUGCACUUAUUAUCCCUUUUUUUCCCUCUACACUUUCAGCCACUGUCAGUUAAUAUGAAACUAUAUCACUUUCUAAACCA